CCAUUCUAUAAAUUGACAUUUCAGCACUUGACAAACGGAUAGCGACUCCUAAGUAGUACUUAAAGCAGGGCUACGUGCGAUUGUGUUAAGUGCAUUUUUGGGAAAAGCACGUGAAACAAUAAAAAACGUUCGUAAAAUGAGUUGUAGAAAAUGCUCUUAAGCGUUAAGAUCAAUUGUUAUCGAGAAGCGCAGUCCUGAAAGUUUUUAAGUUUUUUUUUUAUGCUGAAAAGAAUAUGUGCCAAGAAUUUAGUAAGAUCAUUAAAUAAUUGUUUCUUUUAUUUUCCCCCGAUGUCCACAGCCUUGUUUACUUUAUCAGAAAAAAAAAAAAAAAAAUUUAAAUUUUUUUUUUUUUUUUUUUUUUAAAAAAAAAAAAAAAAAAAAAAAAUAUUUUAAUAAAAUAAAAAAAUUUGGGUUCCAAAGAUUUUUCAUAUUUUUCAAAAAAAGAAAGAGAUAAUGUUAGUUUUUUUUUUUUUUUUUUAUAAAAUAAAUUUAUAAAAAAUUUCGAUUUAUUAAAAAAAAAAAAAAAAACUAACAUUAUCUCUUUACUUUUGUUAAAAGUAUUCAAAUCCUACGGACUCCAAAUCUUGAAAUAUUAUGAAAACAUGUUUUUUUUUCAUUACGUAAUAUGCAUGAAUGAAUUAUGCACAGAUGGGCUAUUUAUUUAGAAAAUAAAUAGGCAAAAAUUUUGAUUUAAUGUCUUGAAAAAAUAAAUUUUCAUAGGGCAUGGACUGAAAUAUAAAUGUAGAGAUCUGGCUCUCUGUAUUAUGAAUAAAUACGUUCAUACUGAUCACUGAGCUGAUUUAAUUUCAGUGUUUAACUCUUAACAUAAAUCUGUUUUACUGCAUCUCUGAUUUGCAGCAGAGUGGAUGGAGUUGCAUAAAUACUUUACAUCUCUCUUCACGAUCGCUCCUGCUGAGGAUGCUGGGAAUGCGGACAGCCCUUCAGAAUCCUGUUUAAGCAUCGUAGAGUUAGAUGAGAGGGAUGAAGACGCUACAAUGUACAGAUCCUUUGGAGUCAAGCAGGGAAAUGAGAGCAAAAUGUAAGAAAGACAAGAUCAAGGCGAUAACCCGAGACUUUUUGAAAGGAAGCGACGGAAAAGUUCACAGUAGGAGUGUCGUUUUGAAACAACAAAAUAAUACAAGUAGCUGCUUUUUUCUCAACUCAGAACUGACACAAAUACAGUGUCAUCUUGACAUUUACAUUUAUAUCAGCCACAUCUAGACUUAAAAUAAGGCUGUUAACUGUGGGUUUAAGUUAUUAGAUGUUAUAUAUGCAUGUCUGUUUUCUUCCUUAAGGUUUGCAGCUGUUGGAAAUGGAGGAGAUUUUGGAUAUUCGGUUUUGCCUUUCACACCAUGCUUCCCGAGAUGACCAAUUGAUCCAUCGGUGAAUGUGAUUCUGACAUAAAGAUCAACUCUUCUUCUGAGAUGUGGCCGCUGUCUCAAGAGGCUGAACAAUCUUCGUCAUCAUUGCCAAGAUCAGAAAGCUUUUCUCCACUUCAGACGAGGCUUCAGAGAUCACAGCACCUGUCGACUGCCUCAUAAUCCUUUCUGUCAAAUUCACGAACAGGAGGCCAGAAAGUGGAACUCAGUGACUCUCCAAAACCAAGAUCUUCUGCAGUACAGCAGGACAAAUCCUCAGAGCUUCUGCCAACAUCAUCUCCUUCACUCCCAAAAAUCAAAUUAAAUCAAACUCUCCCAGGCUUUGAGGACCAUAUUUCCACUGUCAGCCUCUCUCCUGGUGAAAUACCAUCUGUUAGGCCUUCUCAAUGUCAUUUUCCUGCUUUUCUCAUCUCUAAACAAAGUCCAAAACCUCCAGAUUCUCUGUCCCCAAGGUCUUGAUCAGUUUCUUCUCCAGUAAACCCAGUCCAAUCCAGACCUGCUCAUUCAACACCUGUUUCUGAACUGUCUCCAGAACGUGCCAUCACUUCCCCAAGUGCUGCAGUUCCUUCAUUAAAGCUGUCACUUAGAGAAUCAUCACAGUCUGGAUUAGUCUCAUAUAGAAGUAUAUCUACUAUGCCUGUCUAUGACUCCUUCAGUUCUUCUAUGCUGAGGGAUGAAUCUUCUCACCCGGCCUCCGAAUGGUUUAAGGGCUCACGGAGGUCACCCAAAACCAAAGUGUGCUCCUUACAGCUAAACAUGU
ensembl:lncRNA